GUCUAUGGCCAUUCUAUCCUGAAUAAGCCCGAUCCCAUCUGAUCUCGGAAGCUAAGCAGGGUCGGCCUGGUUAGUACUUGGAUGGGAGACCACAUAGGAAGACCAGGUGCUGCAGGUG
rnacentral:rRNA from 1 species